rnacentral:misc_RNA from 1 species
GGGCGGCAUGAUGCAAGACAUGGACAAUCUGUCGGAGGCGGACAAGGCAAGGAUGGCCUCCAUGAUCGAUCAGCUCCAGAUCCGGGACAGUUUGAGAAUGUAUAAUUCACUGGUGGAGAGAUGCUUCACCGAUUGCGUGGAGUCGUUCCGUCGUAAGACCCUUGACAAGCAGGAAGAGACUUGUGUCCGCAGGUGCGCUGAGAAGUUUCUGAAGCACUCGAUGAGGGUUGGCAUGAGAUUUGCGGAGCUCAACCAGGGAGCGGCCACUCCAGAUUCUUGAUCAUCGAUAUACACCGGUUGCAGUCUCUCGACCCUUUGAAGCUUUUACUGUACCAGUUUUCAUUUCUCUAUGCACCAGGAGUAGAAAAUGGUUCAAAGAUGUUUUGAUUAUGUUAUUCCGAAAUAAUGAGUUUGACGAUUUUCGUAAAGGUUGUUUGGAUUUUAGCGC